rnacentral:sRNA from 1 species
UUUUUCUAGUAAGUUU